rnacentral:miRNA from 1 species
GCAGCUACAAGCACUACCACA